rnacentral:piRNA from 1 species
UUUCAAAGUGAUUUUUGUUCA